AUUCAAAAUGGCAGACCCAAGCUUCAAAGUCAUUGAUAAAGGCUUUCCUACUAUUGUCCAGUCAACAAUAUGAUGUUUGUCUUCAGGGAAAGAUACAUGCAAGUCCAUUAUCUCAUUUGACCUAAAUUAACAUCUUACAAGUUGAUGUCAUCUUUUUCCUCGAGAGAAAAAUGAAGACAGAGGGAUAUCUCUGAGAGUUGUCUUCCAUGUACAUCCUCAUAUAAGAAGAAAAGAAACACACCAUUUGGAGAGAAAUUAUGGCCAGAGGCAGAGCUGCAGUAAUGUCAACUCCUCACGAGUGGCUAUAAGAGAUGCAAGAGUUCCAGAUCUCAUCAUUCAAAGAGCAGAGGGUUUCAAUGAAAAAGCAAGUAAAGUUAUU